rnacentral:lncRNA from 1 species
UGGCGAUAGCAAAGAGAUAACUACAUACGAAGUAAGGUUCGUAGUUUUAUCGGUGUCAGGCGCGCUCAGGCAAACAUUAGCAGAUCCCACUUGAUGAACACGAACUCGAUGUCCCCAACGCGAGCGAGCGCUUCGCACUGUGCCUCGGAAACGUGAGAUUACGCGACCGCCAACACUAGACGCGCGGGAACAGUAAAAUGCAGAG